rnacentral:rRNA from 1 species
AAAAAAAAGCAUGCCACCCUGAACACGCCCAAUCCCUUCUGAUCUCGGAAGGUAAGCAGGGUCGGGCCUGGUUAGUACUUGGAUGGGAGACCACCUAGGAAGACCAGGUGCUGUAGGUA